AUUUAUUUAAUAUAUUUAGUAUAAUAAGCUUCCAACUUAUAAGAUUCCAAGGAAAAUAAAUA
rnacentral:tRNA from 2 species